rnacentral:snRNA from 1 species
UUUUAAAAGAUGUACAAGGG